GCAAGUCGAGCGGCAGCGGGAGAAAGCUUGCUUUCUUGCCGGCGAGCGGCGGACGGGUGAGUAAGGUAUGGGGAUCUGGCCGAAGGCGGGGGAUAACCACUGGAAACGGUGGCUAAUACUGCAUAAUCUCUAAGGAGCAAAGUGGGGGACCAUUUGGCCUCACACCUUCGGAUGAACCCAUAUGAGAUUAGCUAGUAGGUGGGGUAAAGGCUCACCUAGGCGACGAUCUCUAGCUGGUCUGAGAGGAUGAUCAGCCACACUGGGACUGAGACACGGCCCAGACUCCUACGGGAGGCAGCAGUGGGGAAUAUUGCACAAUGGGCGCAAGCCUGAUGCAGCCAUGCCGCGUGUAUGAAGAAGGCCUUCGGGUUGUAAAGUACUUUCAGUCGUGAGGAAGGUGUUAAGGUUAAUAGUCUUAGCAAUUGACGUUAGCGACAGAAGAAGCACCGGCUAACUCCGUGCCAGCAGCCGCGGUAAUACGGAGGGUGCGAGCGUUAAUCGGAAUUACUGGGCGUAAAGGGYACGCAGGCGGUUAAUUAAGUUGGAUGUGAAAUCCCCGGGCUUAACCUGGGAAUGGCAUUCAAGACUGGUUAGCUAGAGUCUUGUAGAGGGGGGUAGAAUUCCAUGUGUAGCGGUGAAAUGCGUAGAGAUGUGGAGGAAUACCGGUGGCGAAGGCGGCCCCCUGGACAAAGACUGACGCUCAUGUGCGAAAGCGUGGGGAGCAAACAGGAUUAGAUACCCUGGUAGUCCACGCUGUAAACGAUGUCGAUUUGGAGGUUGUGGUCCUGAACUGUGGCCUCCGGAGCUAACGCGUUAAAUCGACCGCCUGGGGAGUACGGCCGCAAGGUUAAAACUCAAAUGAAUUGACGGGGGCCCGCACAAGCGGUGGAGCAUGUGGUUUAAUUCGAUGCAACGCGAAGAACCUUACCUACUCUUGACAUCCAGCGAAGCCUUUAGAGAUAGAGGCGUGCCUUCGGGAGCGCUGAGAC
rnacentral:rRNA from 1 species